UACGGAGGGUGCAAGCAUUGAUCGGAAUUACUGGGCGUAAAGGGCGCGUAGGUGGUUCGUUAAGUCGGAUGUGAAAUUUCGGGGCUCAACCCCGGAGCUGCAUCGGAAACUGGCGAACUAGAGUUCAGUUAGGGAAAACGGAAUUCCACGUGUAGCGGUGAAAUGCGUAGAUAUGUGGAAGAACACCGGUGGUGAAGACGGUUUUCUAGGCUGAUACUGACACUGAGGCGCGAAAGCUAGGGGAGCAAACAGG
rnacentral:rRNA from 1 species